CCAAAAUCAAAUUAGAAUCAAAAGGAGAUUUCUUCGGACCCUAAAUCGAAUUGCAAAAUCAAAAGAGGAUUUUCUCAGACCCGAAAUAGAAUUGAAAAGAAAACUAAGUCCACAAAUAAAAUCCAAAUCCAAACCCAAAAUCCAAACCUAAACCCAUAAAACCCAAAUCCAACCCAAGUCCACAAAUAAAAACUCCAAACCAAAACCUAAACCCAAAAAAUCCAAAACCAAACCAAGUCCACAAAUAAAACUUGAACCUGAACCCAAAUCCAUAAACCUAACCUCAUGAACCAUAUACCAAGUUCAUGAACCACGAACCAUAUCCAUGAACCUUACCGAAGUUCGUGAACCAAAUCUCAUGAACCAUACCUAAGUUCAUGAACCACAUCAUACCCAAGUUCAUGAAUCAAAUCUCAUACACCAAAUCCAUGAACGAUGAACCAAGUUCAUGAACUAUACACCAUAUCCCAUGGACCAUACCUAGGUUCAUGAACCAAGUCACAUGAACCAUAAACCAAACCUCAUAAAUCAUACACCAAGUUCAUGAAUUAUAAACCAAGUUCAUGAACCAUACCGUAUGAAUCAUGAACUAAAUCCCAUGAACCAUGAACCAAGUUCAUGAACUAUAAACCAUAUCCAUAAACCAUACACCAAUCCAUGAACCAUACACCAUAUCCCAUGAACCAUACCUAAGUUCAUGAACCAUGAACCAAGUCCAUAAACUAAGUCCAUAAAGCAAAUCUAUGAACCAUAUCCAAGUUCAUGAAACAAAUUCAAUAACCGAACACCAUGAACCAUACCCAAGUUCAUGACUCAAGUCUCAUGUUCAUAAACCAUAAACCAAACUUCAUGAACCAUACCCAAGUUCAUGAACCAUGAACCAAACCUCAUGAGCCAUACACCAAGUUCAUGAACUAUAAACCAAACCCCAUAAACCAUGGACCAAAUUCAUGAACCCAAUCCCAUAAACCAUACCCAAGUUCAUGAACUAAAUAUCAUGAACCAUACAUCAAACCCUAUGAGUCAUAAACCUCAUGAACUAUACACCACAUCCCAUGAACCAAAUUUCAUAUGCCAAACUUUAUGAACCAUACCCAAGUUCAUGAACCAAACCAAAUUCUAUGAGCCAUACACCAAACCAUGUCCAAAUCUCAUGAACUCUACCCAAAUCUCAUGAACCAUAAGCCAUACCCAAGUUCAUGAACCAAACCCUAUAAACCAUAUCGAAGUUCAUGAACCAAACAAACCUAACCCCAUGAACCAUGAACCAAGUUCAUGAACCAAAUCUCAUGAACCAUACACCAAUUCUAUACAUGAACCAAACAAACCUAACCCCAUGAACCAUAAACCAAGUUCAUGAACCAAAUUCCAUGAACCAUACACCAAUUCCAUACAUUAACCGAACAAACCAAACCCCAUAAACAAUACACCAUGUUCAUGAACUAUAAACUAAAUCUUAUGAACCAUAAACCAAAUCCCAUAUACCAAAUCCUAUACACCAAAUCUCAUGAACCAUACAUCAAGCUCAUGCCCAAAGUUCAUCAUAUACCUUUUCUUUACUCU
rnacentral:lncRNA from 1 species